rnacentral:rRNA from 1 species
GACGAACGCUGGCGGCGUGCCUAAUACAUGCAAGUAGAACGCUGAAGGAGGAGCUUGCUUCUCUGGAUGAGUUGCGAACGGGUGAGUAACGCGUAGGUAACCUGCCUGGUAGCGGGGGAUAACUAUUGGAAACGAUAGCUAAUACCGCAUAAGAGUAGAUGUUGCAUGACAUUUGCUUAAAAGGUGCAAUUGCAUCACUACCAGAUGGACCUGCGUUGUAUUAGCUAGUUGGUGAGGUAACGGCUCACCAAGGCAACGAUACAUAGCCGACCUGAGAGGGUGAUCGGCCACACUGGGACUGAGACACGGCCCAGACUCCUACGGGAGGCAGCAGUAAGGAAUCUUCGGCAAUGGACGGAAGUCUGACCGAGCAACGCCGCGUGAGUGAAGAAGGUUUUCGGAUCGUAAAGCUCUGUUGUAAGAGAAGAACGAGUGUGAGAGUGGAAAGUUCAC